UCCUCCUCCUCCUCCCUCUCGCGCUCCCUCCUUUUUUGCUGCCUCAACCUCCCACCCGGGCUCGGGCGACGGUGAAGCUGCCUAGGACUGCGCCAUGUUGGCCUUCUUCUGGCUCACGUGACUCGGGGGGCGAGGACACGUCCGUCCCCCAAGCGGCUCGUUCCGAGGCGGAGGCGGUCCCACGACCAGAAGUUGACGCGGGUUGCACGUGUGAACGGGUGCGCGCGGAAGAGCGAGGCGGAUCCGCCCGUGCGGAUAUCCCCCGGGAGCGACCCCUGCGCAGGGCUGAGAGCGGGCAGGGCAAGCGGCGAAUCUCGGCUCGGCCGCUGCACCGGGCGACGGAGGAGCGGCGCCCACCCUGCUCCUGAACCUGCCCUCCCAGCCGCGGCUGCCAGCAGGAAACGAGAACGCGGCGCAGGGGCUGCGCUCCCACGACGCCUUCACCGUUCGCUCGGCUAAGCCCUUGCUCUGGAUUCACACGACACGUCGAACCAGAAAUCGUCGCCCAACAAGCGGCGUCCGGAGCGCCGAUGUGAUUGGACAGACACAGCUGAGCCGUGACCCUUCUCAUGCUUAAGCCAGGGCCCCAGGAUGGCACAUACAGGUUGGAUUCACACAACACACUGAAUCCCAAACCUGGGAUCAUUAAACGCAGCGGCUGUGCUCCCAGAACGUGAUGCCCGAAGCAACCCUAUUCUGAUUCCAUAUUACAACGUGCUGAGAUAAGACCUGCCCUGGGUGCUUUUCUUGUGCGCCCCCCCGAGACCACCAGAAGUGUUUACCUCAUUUUAACUGUGACCAACGGGAGAAUAUAUGAAAAAAAUACAGGAAAAAAGUCUUCAGAUCACGCACUCCUGACGUCUUCAGGGAUAUUCCAUAUAGUCUGCUUGGCAAAGCAGGAAGAGGCCCCGGGAGAUCCAGAAGAGAUGAAGAGACGCCUCCUGCGGACCUUCUCGCACAUGGAACAGGAGCUGGUCAAACUCAUGACCCUUAUCCGGAAUCGCAAGGCCAGCCUCGUCACCCACCACCGGGGCUGCAAAGCCUCCGACUGCCAGCGAGUUGGAGAAAACAACAAGGCCUUUAAUUUGGCUGUGUACGAUAUUAUUGAGGACUGAGCCGCAGGAAAAGGAUUAGAGACGGGAAUAAAAGUAUUACAGUGG